AGAAAACUUUCACUCGAACUUUGAAAAAUAAUUAAUUAGCAGGGAGCCAUGAAUCUAAUGAAUUUUCAUUAUUCUGCUUCCUAAAUUUCUGUAAGUUCAGACAGAUAUAAUUGUCUUCCAUGCUACUAUUAUUUCUCCAUCCUAUUACUCUAUACACACAAUCACCCUAGGUAUAUCAGUUUUUGGAUGGUUUGUUUUAGGAAAAGGUGUCUGCAGUGGAAAUGCUAAGUCACGGCCUGAACCAGUGAUUGAGCACCUGGUGGGAAGACAGGGCCAACCCACCAGGUGCAUGCAAUCCACCUGAGUGACUAGAAGGAGUGGAGCCAGGAUCCACCCCUUCCCAGAACUCAUUUAAUGGUUGGCAGUGGAGGUAAAGGUAUCCUGCUGGAGAUCCUUGUGCUCCUGAGCCCUUGUGAAGGAUGGCACAGAAGUUGAGUUUGGUUCUGGGCCCCACAGUACGAGAGAGACAUGGAAGUCAAAGUACUGGAGCAAGUUCAACAAAGGACACUGAAAUGACUAAGAGACUGGAGCAUCUGACAUAUGAGGAGAAGCACUGAGGGCUGAGACUCAACUAUAUGUAUGCAUUCCUAACAGAAUGGUGUAAAGAAGAUACAAUCAGACUCAGUGGUGUUCAGUGACAGGACAAGAAGCAAUGGGCACAAAGUGUACAAAGAAUCUUGAAAAUUACAGCAAAUAAAACAUGUUCAGCAAAACA